CAACUUCACCCCCUUGCCUGCUGCUGCCGGCUGUGUGCGUCACGGGAGCGAGCUGGCAGGGACCCGGAGGGGCCGUUCUGUUCCUGCGCUGCAGCUCCCAGGGGACACGGGACUCAAGACCACAGGGUCAGCCCAGAAGGAAAUUUUGGGGUGAAGCUAUUAAUCACAUAAUUCCAGACUCUGCAUGCUGUUGUGACAUUAAUAUCAGAGGUAACUUCAAAAAUGUGCAAAGUGCAUUAUGAAUUUUCCCAGACAGAUUAGGUACGUACAUAAGUUUUAUAAACCUAGUCUUAACCUUCUUUUUCAAAUCUCCUUUUCUAGGAACUCCAUUAAAGCAUGAAGAACAAUAGUGUGAUUAUAACUGCUGUAACACAAAGAGCUGAGUGAUAUCCUGGAGUCAUGCUGUUGUUGCUCUGAGUGAGUUCUAGAGCAGAGAAUGAUUUGUUGCAGAAACUUAGGGUCAAAUUUUGUCAGGGGAUUAGAAAGUUGCCUCUAAAUACAUUCACUCACCUGCCACAAAGCUGAUCAUAUGGUAUGAUUACUUUUAUAUAUAUAUAUAUAUAUAUAUAUAUAUAUAUUGUAGCCGCAAGUCUGA
rnacentral:lncRNA from 1 species